GAAACCCUACGGGAGGCAGCAGUAGGGAAUCUUCCACAAUGGGCGAAAGCCUGAUGGAGCAACGCCGCGUGGGUGAAGAAGGUCUUCGGAUCGUAAAACCCUGUUGUUAGAGAAGAAAGUGCGUGAGAGUAACUGUUCACGUUUCGACGGUAUCUAACCAGAAAGCCACGGCUAACUACGUGCCAGCAGCCGCGGUAAUACGUAGGUGGCAAGCGUUAUCAGGAUUUAUUGGGCGUAAAGGGAACGCAGGCGGUCUUUUAAGUCUGAUGUGAAAGCGUUAGGCUUAACCGGAGGAGUGCAUUGGA
rnacentral:rRNA from 1 species